CUGCGGAGGACAUUAUU
rnacentral:rRNA from 4 species